AAUAUUGGACAAUGGGGGGAACCCUGAUCCAGCCAUGCCGCGUGUGUGAAGAAGGUCUUCGGUUUGUAAAGUACUUUUGGCAGAGAAGAAAAGGUAUCUCCUAAUACGAGAUACUGCUGACGGUAUCUGCAGAAUAAGCACCGGCAAACUACGUGCCAGCCGCCGCGGUAAUACGUAGGGUGCAAGCGUUAAUCGGAAUUACUGAGCGUAAAGCGUGUGUAGGCGGUUCGGAAAGAAAGAUGUGAAAUCCCAGGGCUCAACCUUGGAACUGCAUUUUUAACUGCCGAGCUAGAGUAUGUCAGAGGGGGGUAGAAUUCCACGUGUAGCAGUGAAAUGCGUAGAUAUGUGGAGGAAUACCGAUGGCGAAGGCAGCCCCCUGGGAUAAUACUGACGCUCAGACACGAAAGCGUGGGGAGCAAACAGG
rnacentral:rRNA from 1 species